rnacentral:rRNA from 1 species
UAGAGUUUGAUCCUGGCUCAGAACGAACGCUGGCGGCAGGCUUAACACAUGCAAGUCGAGCGCCCCGCAAGGGGAGCGGCAGACGGGUGAGUAACGCGUGGGAAUCUACCCAUCACUACGGAACAACUCCGGGAAACUGGAGCUAAUACCGUAUACGUCCUUCGGGAGAAAGAUUUAUCGGUGAUGGAUGAGCCCGUGUUGGAUUAGCUAGUUGGUGGGGUAAAGGCCUACCAAGGCGACGAUCCAUAGCUGGUCUGAGAGGAUGAUCAGCCACACUGGGACUGAGACACGGCCCAGACUCCUACGGGAGGCAGCGGUGGGGAAUAUUGGACAAUGGGCGAAAGCCUGAUCCAGCCAUGCCGCGUGAGUGAUGAAGGCCCUAGGGUUGUAAAGCUCUUUCAACGGUGAAGAUAAUGACGGUAACCGUAGAAGAAGCCCCGGCUAACUUCGUGCCAGCAGCCCCGGUCAA